rnacentral:miRNA from 14 species
CCUUGCUAUCAUAUGCAAAGAG